rnacentral:rRNA from 1 species
GACGGGUGAGUAACACGUGGGUAACCUGCCUGUAAGACUGGGAUAACUCCGGGAAACCGGAGCUAAUACCGGAUAGUUCCUUGAACCGCAUGGUUCAAGGAUGAAAGACGGUUUCGGCUGUCACUUACAGAUGGACCCGCGGCGCAUUAGCUAGUUGGUGAGGUAACGGCUCACCAAGGCGACGAUGCGUAGCCGACCUGAGAGGGUGAUCGGCCACACUGGGACUGAGACACGGCCCAGACUCCUACGGGAGGCAGCAGUAGGGAAUCUUCCGCAAUGGACGAAAGUCUGACGGAGCAACGCCGCGUGAGUGAUGAAGGUUUUCGGAUCGUAAAGCUCUGUUGUUAGGGAAGAACAAGUGCAAGAGUAACUGCUUGCACCUUGACGGUACCUAACCAGAAAGCCACGGCUAACUACGUGCCAGCAGCCGCGGUAAUACGUAGGUGGCAAGCGUUGUCCGGAAUUAUUGGGCGUAAAGGGCUCGCAGGCGGUUUCUUAAGUCUGAUGUGAAAGCCCCCGGCUCAACCGGGGAGGGUCAUUGGAAACUGGGAAACUUGAGUGCAGAAGAGGAGAGUGGAAUUCCACRUGUAGCGGUGAAAUGCGUAGAGAUGUGGAGGAACACCAGUGGCGAAGGCGACUCUCUGGUCUGUAACUGACGCUGAGGAGCGAAAGCGUGGGGAGCGAACAGGAUUAGAUACCCUGGUAGUCCACGCCGUAAACGAUGAGUGCUAAGUGUUAGGGGGUUUCCGCCCCUUAGUGCKGCAGCUAACGCAUUAAGCACUCCGCCUGGGGAGUACGGUCGCAAGACUGAAACUCAAAGGAAUUGACGGGGGCCCGCACAAGCGGUGGAGCAUGUGGUUUAAUUCGAARCAACGCGAAGAAMCUUACCRGGUCUUGACAUCCUCUGACAACCCUWAGAGAUAGGGCUUUCCCUUUCGGGGAACAGAGUGACAGGU